GGAACGCUGCUCCCAAACCCCUGCCCCUCCCUCUCAACGGGAGAAUCUCGGUCCUUCCUGAGGGGCGGGCGGUGAGGUUCCCCGCCGUAGGGGUACACCCAAU
rnacentral:SRP_RNA from 11 species